GGCAUGGUGGCACAGUGGUUAGCGCUGCGGCCUCACAAUGUGGAGGUUCCAGGUUCGAGUCCCAGCUGGCCA